GUAGAUUUAAAACCAUAUACAGAGCUGGCUAUUCUGGAAGAUGAGAGUAGCCUGAGAAUUUAAGUCCUUAACUACUUCUUUUGUGGUCAUCAUCAUCAUCUAGGAAAGAGUUUGAUCAGCAGAUUUUAAGGCAAUCCCCAUCUACUUUGUGUUACCUCAUGUAAUCCAUGUUUCAUGAUGGUAGAACUCCUUGUUUGAAAGCCUAGAAAAAGAACAGACUGAGAAAAGUGUUAAGGACUAAUGGUGAGAAUCAGAAGAAGGCUUAUGAACCACUUAGGCCCUCAAGAGUAGGGCCUCGGCACAGAAGAGGAUUUCACCUAGUGAUGAAGACAGGGAGGAAAGAAGCGGAAGGAGAAGGAAGAUGUUAAGAUCGCCAGCUGUGCGGAACUGCUGCAAAAUGUUUUUAGGAAGGUGAACGAUUUCACUAGGGCCAAUGAAAC